GUUGGAGCAGGGUUGCAACUGAAGUCUGCAGGAUGGUAGCUCCCAGGAGCAGGGUUGGAGAUCCCUGGCCUACAGUGUCUCUUCUCCUACAAGUAAAAUCAUUAAUGAUGGAGCAGCUCCUGAAGGCAUGGAGAGCAUGAAACCAAGGCAGUCGUGACAAGAAGAGGAAAGGUUUUUUCCCCCUGCAGACCACUCUCACCUGCAGCUCAUCACAAUUAUACAAGGUCUGACAGGGUCUGGGAAAUAUUUUUUUUAUUUUUAGCCCCCAAGCACUCAUUUUUCCACUCUUACCUCCUUUUGAAAUAAGGUCGAGGGGAAAAAACUCUUAAACUGUUUGACCUGUAUCUUUGCUAAGGUCUAAAAUGUAACUGAAGCAAUGAUUGUGUUCUGUGGUAAAGGAGCCAAGAACAAGCAAGAAAAAAAGCAACUGAGAGAAAGUACAAAGACUUCUGAAAUACAUACCACAAACUGUACCCGCAAGAUAGAAGAGAUUUUCAUCUUUUUUUUUUUUUUUUUAACCUACCACACAAAGUUAAGAGUGCUCAACACAGAAAGCAUGACUAGAACUCCUAUUUCCAUCCACCCUGAAAUGAAAUGAGAGAUGUUAAAAAUGUCAUGAAUAUGUAGAUCACAGAAAAUCUCCCACAGCUGUGAGGUUUCACAUGUUCGAGUUUCAGAGCUGAAGAGGAUCCAAAAAGUACAGGACAUUCCAAUCUUUUGCAAAUGGAUGCCUGUUUGCCAUAUGAAGAGGCCCUACUCAAAAAGGCACAAUGACUGCGCUAUGAUUUGUCCUUCAGGAAUAACAUCUCUACAUUUCUAGCACUUCUACUGUUACCUCUUCUAACUCUCCCACUUCUCUCACUUCUGGCUUGCUCUCCCUUUCUCUGUAAAAUGCAAUCUGCAAUCAGAACUACAUGGUUAACCUCAGGAUUGCACCUCUGCCAAUCUCAUUUAUACGCUUCUUGAUUGAAAUGAAUAUUUAAGUGGUUGCAUAUAAAUUAAUAAAGCUUCAGCUCUCUCCUCCGGAAUGUGACCUCUUGCAUGAGGAGCUUCCUGGGAUCUAUUAAAUAUGUAAAAAUAAUGUAAAUGUAGGCCUCUGAAUUUUUUUUUUAAACAAUAACGCAGAGUUCCUCAAACAUAAUAUCUUGAAAGGAACAUACUCAAAAAGAGUUAAUAUAUUCUGAAUUAUUGAACGAAUCUGACAGACUAAACCUUUGCUGUAGCUCAACA